AUUGAACGCUGGCGGCAUGCCUUACACAUGCAAGUCGAACGGCAGCACGGGAGCAAUCCUGGUGGCGAGUGGCGAACGGGUGAGUAAUAUAUCGGAACGUGCCCAGUCGUGGGGGAUAACGUAGCGAAAGCUACGCUAAUACCGCAUACGAUCUACGGAUGAAAGCGGGGGAUCGCAAGACCUCGCGCGAUUGGAGCGGCCGAUAUCAGAUUAGCUAGUUGGUGGGGUAAAAGCCCACCAAGGCGACGAUCUGUAGCUGGUCUGAGAGGACGACCAGCCACACUGGGACUGAGACACGGCCCAGACUCCUACGGGAGGCAGCAGUGGGGAAUUUUGGACAAUGGGCGCAAGCCUGAUCCAGCAAUGCCGCGUGCAGGAUGAAGGCCUUCGGGUUGUAAACUGCUUUUGUACGGAGCGAGACGGUCUACCCUAAUACGGUGGGCUAAUGACGGUACCGUAAGAAUAAGCACCGGCUAACUACGUGCCAGCAGCCGCCGUAAGAC
rnacentral:rRNA from 1 species